rnacentral:misc_RNA from 1 species
GUGAAAAUGAGGUUAUGAGAGGGAAUUUAAAUUUAGUUUGAUAGGUGUUUUUAUAAAGGAGGAAAUUUGGAGGUAUAUAUAUAGAUAGGGAGAAUUUUAUAUGUAGAUGGAAGAUAAGGGUUAGGAUGAUGAGUUGGAUAUGAUUGAAGUGAUUUAGUAUAUAUGUAUGAAGGGUAAGAAGUAAAAAUUAUUAAGGAGUUGGAUUU